rnacentral:misc_RNA from 1 species
ACAUCUUAAAGAAAAAUAGUGUUGAUUUUAGUUGACAUAACCAUCGAUCAACCAAAAUCAACACUAUUUUUCUUUAAGAUGUGAUAAGAGGAAAAAAAAAAAAAACAAUAUCUCACAACUUAAUAACAGUAUUAUUUAACUCUGGUGAAAAUCUAGGAAAACAGUGAUGUAGAUACCGUAAACAAGAUCCAUAACUUCUCAGCUGCACAGCUUAACUUUAAAAGGUUCGUGUCCCGAUAUUUCCUACUACUAACACAGGCAACUAAAGUCGGCUUUAAAAUGCUCAUGUCCCUGUGUUUCUGCGGCCAACACGAGCAACAAAACCAGCUUU